rnacentral:rRNA from 1 species
GAUGAACGCUAGCUACAGGCUUAACACAUGCAAGUCGAGGGGAAACGAUAGAGAAAGCUUGCUUUUUCUAGGCGUCGACCGGCGCACGGGUGAGUAACGCGUAUCCAACCUGCCCAUCACUUGGGGAUAACCUUGCGAAAGUAAGACUAAUACCCAAUGAUAUCUCUAGAAGACAUCUGAAGGAGAUUAAAGAUUUAUCGGUGAAGGAUGGGGAUGCGUCUGAUUAGCUUGUUGGCGGGGUAACGGCCCACCAAGGCGACGAUCAGUAGGGGUUCUGAGAGGAAGGUCCCCAACAUUGGAACUGAGACACGGUCCAAACUCCUACGGGAGGCAGCAGUGAGGAAUAUUGGUCAAUGGACGAGAGUCUGAACCAGCCAAGUAGCGUGCAGGAUGACGGCCCUAUGGGUUGUAAACUGCUUUUAUAAGGGAAUAAAGUGAGUCUCGGGAGACUUUUUGCAUGUACCUUAUGAAUAAGGACCGGCUAAUUCCGUGCCAGCAGCCGCCGUAA